rnacentral:misc_RNA from 1 species
GAUGAAGAACGUAGCGAAACGCGAUAAGUAAUGUGAAUUGCAGAAUUUAGUGAAUCAUCGAAUCUUUGAACGCACAUUGCGCCCAUUAGUAUUCUAGUGGGCAUGCCUGUUCGAGCGUCAUUUCAACCCUUAAGCCUAGCUUAGUAUUGGGAAUCGACUUUACUGUCGUUCCUCAAAUUCAACGGCGGAUUUAUAGCAAUCUCUGAACGUAGUAAUUUUUUUUCUCGUUUUUGAAAUACUAUAAACCUCAGCCGCUAAACCCCCAAUUUCUUAUGGUUGACCUCGGAUCAGGUAGGAAUACCCGCUGAACUUAAGCAUAUCAAUAAGCGGAGGA